rnacentral:lncRNA from 1 species
AGCCUGUCUCUGUGUCUGUGACAAUAGGCCUACUUUUGAGGGUUUAAAUGAGCUCUUACGGACUCUAAUCCCUUUGCUUCCCUUGUCUUCUACUGGGAGCCACUUAACCGUCAGUAUCUGAGAAAGAAAAAUGAGGAACUGGAACAGCUCUACCAGGAUCAAGAGGUGCCCAAGCCAAAAUCCUGGUGCUCAACCAUGUCUAUUAGAGAAACUGAAUGAGGAGGCAAAGCAUGACAAGUGCCACAAGAGACCUGCACACUGCUCUGGAUGGUAAAGCGACGCAAGGAGGGAAGAAGGACCAUCAGCACGUGCCCAUCGACAUCCAGACCAGCAAGCUGCUCGAUUGGCUGGUGGACAGAAGGCACUGCAGCCUGAAAUGGCAGAGUCUGGUGCUGACGAUCCGCGAGAAGAUCAAUGCUGCCAUCCAGGACAUGCCAGAGAGCGAAGAGAUCGCCCAGCUGCUGUCUGGGUCCUACAUUCACUACUUUCACUGCCUAAGAAUCCUGGACCUUCUCAAAGGCACAGAGGCCUCCACGAAGAAUAUUUUUGGCCGAUACUCUUCACAGCGGAUGAAGGAUUGGCAGGAGAUUAUAGCUCUGUAUGAGAAGGACAAC